UCGAUCCCACCGAGAGGUUCAGCAGCAUUCUGGGGAACAAGGAUCGACUGCGACCGCACAUGGAAGAGAGGAUAUGCGAUGUGAUGCAGCCCUCUGUUCCCAGUCCUUUCAAGAGGAGUGUGCCAACCCAGGGACGGUCGGGGUUUGGCUGUUGUGGAUUCCCAGAUGAUUAGCGGACUGCAACCUGCCAGGGGAAGUAUGCAGAGUUCAGGGACGUACUGCG